GGAAGUAAAAGUUAACAAGGUUUCCGUAGGUGAACCUGCGGAAGGAUCAUUAUCGUACAAAAUGCGAGGGGCAUGCGAGGGCUGUCGCUGACCUGAAAGGUCGUGCACGCCCGAGUGCCCUCACACACAUCCAUCUCACCCCUAUGUGCACCACCGCGUGGGUCCCCCUUUGGCUUGUUCGGAGGGGGGCUUACGUUUUCACACAAACUUUGUAUGCAGUGUAGAAUGUAUUUUUUGUUUUUGCGAUCACGCAAUCAAUAAAACUUUCGACAACGGAUCUCUUGGCUCUC
rnacentral:misc_RNA from 1 species